UGGUCUGAGAGGAUGAUCAGUCACACCGGAACUGAGACACGGUCCGGACUCCUACGGGAGGCAGCAGUGGGGAAUAUUGGACAAUGGGGGCAACCCUGAUCCAGCCAUGCCGCGUGUGUGAAGAAGGCCUUUUGGUUGUAAAGCACUUUAAGCAGGGAGGAGAGGCUAAUGGUUAAUACCCAUUAGAUUAGACGUUACCUGCAGAAUAAGCACCGGCUAACUCUGUGCCAGCAGCCGCGGUAAUACAGAGGGUGCGAGCGUUAAUCGGAAUUACUGGGCGUAAAGCGAGUGUAGGUGGCUCAUUAAGUCACAUGUGAAAUCCCCGGGCUUAACCUGGGAACUGCAUGUGAUACUGGUGGUGCUAGAAUAUGUGAGAGGGAAGUAGAAUUCCAGGUGUAGCGGUGAAAUGCGUAGAGAUCUGGAGGAAUACCGAUGGCGAAGGCAGCUUCCUGGCAUAAUAUUGACACUGAGAUUCGAAAGCGUGGGUAGCAAACAGGAUUAGAUACCCUGGUAGUCCACGCCGUAAACGAUGUCUACUAGCCGUUGGGGUCCUUGAGACUUUAGUGGCGCAGUUAACGCGAUAAGUAGACCGCCUGGGGAGUACGGCCGCAAGGUUAAAACUCAAAUGAAUUGACGGGGGCCCGCACAAGCGGUGGAGCAUGUGGUUUAAUUCGAUGCAACGCGAAGAACCUUACCU
rnacentral:rRNA from 1 species